rnacentral:rRNA from 2 species
UUAAGCGACUAAGCGUACACGGUGGAUGCCCUGGCAGUCAGAGGCGAUGAAGGACGUGCUAAUCUGCGAAAAGCGCCGGCGAGGUGAUAUGAACCUUUGACCCGGCGAUGUCCGAAUGGGGAAACCCAGUGCAAUUCGUUGCACUAUCGUUAACUGAAUACAUAGGUUAACGAGGCGAACCGGGGGAACUGAAACAUCUAAGUACCCCGAGGAAAAGAAAUCAACCGAGAUUCCCCCAGUAGCGGCGAGCGAACGGGGAGCAGCCCAGAGUCUGAAUCAGCUUGUGUGUUAGUGGAAGCGUCUGGAAAGUCGCACGGUACAGGGUGACAGUCCCGUACACGAAAGCACACAGGUUGUGAACUCGAAGAGUAGGGCGGGACACGUGGUAUCCUGUCUGAAUAUGGGGGGACCAUCCUCCAAGGCUAAAUACUCCUGACUGACCGAUAGUGAACCAGUACCGUGAGGGAAAGGCGAAAAGAACCCCGGCGAGGGGAGUGAAAAAGAACCUGAAACCGUGUACGUACAAGCAGUGGGAGCACCUUCGUGGUGUGACUGCGUACCUUUUGUAUAAUGGGUCAGCGACUUAUAUUCUGUAGCAAGGUUAACCGUAUAGGGGAGCCGAAGGGAAACCGAGUCUUAACUGGGCGUUAAGUUGCAGGGUAUAGACCCGAAACCCGGUGAUCUAGCCAUGGGCAGGUUGAAGGUUGGGUAACACUAACUGGAGGACCGAACCGACUAAUGUUGAAAAAUUAGCGGAUGACUUGUGGCUGGGGGUGAAAGGCCAAUCAAACCGGGAGAUAGCUGGUUCUCCCCGAAAGCUAUUUAGGUAGCGCCUCGUGAACUCAUCUUCGGGGGUAGAGCACUGUUUCGGCUAGGGGGCCAUCCCGGCUUACCAACCCGAUGCAAACUACGAAUACCGAAGAAUGUUAUCACGGGAGACACACGGCGGGUGCUAACGUCCGUCGUGAAGAGGGAAACAACCCAGACCGCCAGCUAAGGUCCCAAAGUCAUGGUUAAGUGGGAAACGAUGUGGGAAGGCACAGACAGCCAGGAUGUUGGCUUAGAAGCAGCCAUCAUUUAAAGAAAGCGUAAUAGCUCACUGGUCGAGUCGGCCUGCGCGGAAGAUGUAACGGGGCUAAACCAUGCACCGAAGCUGCGGCAGCGACGCUUAUGCGUUGUUGGGUAGGGGAGCGUUCUGUAAGCCGUUGAAGGUGUGCUGUGAGGCAUGCUGGAGGUAUCAGAAGUGCGAAUGCUGACAUAAGUAACGAUAAAGCGGGUGAAAAGCCCGCUCGCCGGAAGACCAAGGGUUCCUGUCCAACGUUAAUCGGGGCAGGGUGAGUCGACCCCUAAGGCGAGGCCGAAAGGCGUAGUCGAUGGGAAACAGGUUAAUAUUCCUGUACUUGGUGUUACUGCGAAGGGGGGACGGAGAAGGCUAUGUUAGCCGGGCGACGGUUGUCCCGGUUUAAGCAUGUAGGCGGAGGUUCCAGGUAAAUCCGGUCGUUUAUUAACGCUGAGGUGUGAUGACGAGGCACUACGGUGCUGAAGUAACAAAUGCCCUGCUUCCAGGAAAAGCCUCUAAGCAUCAGGUAACACGAAAUCGUACCCCAAACCGACACAGGUGGUCAGGUAGAGAAUACCAAGGCGCUUGAGAGAACUCGGGUGAAGGAACUAGGCAAAAUGGUGCCGUAACUUCGGGAGAAGGCACGCUGAUAUGUAGGUGAAGCCCCUGCGGGUGGAGCUGAAAUCAGUCGAAGAUACCAGCUGGCUGCAACUGUUUAUUAAAAACACAGCACUGUGCAAACACGAAAGUGGACGUAUACGGUGUGACGCCUGCCCGGUGCCGGAAGGUUAAUUGAUGGGGUUAGCGGUAACGCGAAGCUCUUGAUCGAAGCCCCGGUAAACGGCGGCCGUAACUAUAACGGUCCUAAGGUAGCGAAAUUCCUUGUCGGGUAAGUUCCGACCUGCACGAAUGGCGUAAUGAUGGCCAGGCUGUCUCCACCCGAGACUCAGUGAAAUUGAACUCGCUGUGAAGAUGCAGUGUACCCGCGGCAAGACGGAAAGACCCCGUGAACCUUUACUAUAGCUUGACACUGAACACUGGUCCUUGAUGUGUAGGAUAGGUGGGAGGCUUUGAAGCGUGGACGCCAGUCUGCGUGGAGCCGACCUUGAAAUACCACCCUUUAAUGGCUGGUGUUCUAACGUAGACCCGUGAUCCGGGUUGCGGACAGUGUCUGGUGGGUAGUUUGACUGGGGCGGUCUCCUCCCAAAGAGUAACGGAGGAGCACGAAGGUUAGCUAAUCCUGGUCGGACAUCAGGAGGUUAGUGCAAUGGCAUAAGCUAGCUUGACUGCGAGAGUGACGGCUCGAGCAGGUGCGAAAGCAGGUCAUAGUGAUCCGGUGGUUCUGAAUGGAAGGGCCAUCGCUCAACGGAUAAAAGGUACUCCGGGGAUAACAGGCUGAUACCGCCCAAGAGUUCAUAUCGACGGCGGUGUUUGGCACCUCGAUGUCGGCUCAUCACAUCCUGGGGCUGAAGUAGGUCCCAAGGGUAUGGCUGUUCGCCAUUUAAAGUGGUACGCGAGCUGGGUUUAGAACGUCGUGAGACAGUUCGGUCCCUAUCUGCCGUGGGCGCUGGAGAAUUGAGGGGGGCUGCUCCUAGUACGAGAGGACCGGAGUGGACGCAUCACUGGUGUUCGGGUUGUCAUGCCAAUGGCACUGCCCGGUAGCUAAAUGCGGAAAAGAUAAGUGCUGAAAGCAUCUAAGCACGAAACUUGCCCCGAGAUGAGUUCUCCCUGACCCUUUAAGGGUCCUGAAGGAACGUUGAAGACUACGACGUUGAUAGGUCGGGUGUGUAAGCGCAGCGAUGCGUUGAGCUAACCGAUACUAAUGAACCGUGAGGCUUAACCUU